GAGUUGCUAGUAAUCCCGAAUCAGCAUGUCGGGGUGAAUGCGUUCCCGGGUCUUGUACACACUGCCCGUCACGCCAUGGGAGUCGGGGGUACCCGAAGUCAGUGGGCUAACCAGCAAUGGAGGCAGCUGCCGAAGGUAAAACUGAUGACUGGGGUGAAGUCGUAACAAGGUACC
rnacentral:rRNA from 1 species